GCAGACAACAUUGUGAACAAUGCUGAAUUCAUUAGAGAGAGCAUUGUUCCAGAAGCUGGGCCUUGGACUAUCUUGGGUCAGGUGUAAAUUGACUUAGGCUUAAGAGAGCCUGGGAUCCUGUUAUAACUCCAGGUGCACAAAAGCAACUCAGUUAUUACUUUCUGAAUGCAUUUGAUAAUUGGGGGGGUUUCAACACGAACCCACUAUAUGCGAUACUUCAUGAGGUGAUUUACUGCCAAGGUGUUCCAUCUCAGUGGGCUGCUCAAAGAAUAAGGGAGGCCAACGGAAGCAAGUUUGACGCAAUCAAAGCAGCAAAAGAAGGGCGUCCUGUAUAUUUUACGGGAGAGGUUUGCACAUCACUGAGUGGAGAUCCUUUCACCGAUGAGAAAUUUGAUGAAAUACGAGACAAAUGGGCAUCAUACUUCAACGAACAUUGUGUGUAAUUAAC